UACGAAGGGUGCUAGCGUUGUUCGGAAUCACUGGGCGUAAAGCGCGCGUAGGCGGCUAAUCAAGUCAGGGGUGAAAUCCUUGGGCUCAACCCAAGAAUUGCCUUUGAAACUGUUUGGCUGGAGUAUUGGAGGGGAGUGCGGAAUUUCUAAUGUAGCGGUGAAAUGCGUAGAUAUUAGAAGGAACACCGGUGGCGAAGGCGGCACUCUGGACAAUUACUGACGCUGAGGCGCGAAAGCGUGGGGAUCAAACAGG
rnacentral:rRNA from 1 species